CAAUAGCGUAUAUUAAAGUUGUUGCAGUUAGAACGCUCGUAGUCGGAUUUCGGGGCGGGCCGACCGGUCUGCCGAUGGGUACGCACUGGUCGGCGCGUCCUUCCUUCCGGAGACCGUCCCUACUCUUAACUGAGCGGGGGCGGGAGACGGGACUUUUACUUUGAAAAAAUCAGAGUGUUUCAAGCAGGCAGCUCGCUCUUGCAUGGAUUAGCAUGGGAUAAUGAAAUAGGACUUUGGUGCUAUUUUGUUGGUUUCGAACACCGAAGUAAUGAUGAGAAGGGACAGUCAGGGGCACUCGUAUUCCGCCGAGAGAGGUGAAAUUCUCAGACCAGCGGAAGACGAACCACUGCGAAAGCAUUUGCCAGGGAUGUUUUCACUGA
rnacentral:rRNA from 1 species